rnacentral:lncRNA from 10 species
GUCAGCACUCUGUGCCUAGCUAAAGGAUUGUAAACACACCAAUCAGCACUCUAUGUCUAGCUAAUCUGAUGGGGACGUGGAGAACUUUUGUGUCUAGCUAAAGGACUGUAAACGCACCAAUCAGCACUCUGUGUCUAGCUAAAGGUUUCUAAAUGCACUAAUCAGCACUCUGUCAAAAUGGAUCAAUCAGCUCUGUAAAACGGACCAAUCAGCUCUCUGUAAAAUGGACCAAUCAGCAGGAUGUGGGUGGGGCCAGAUAAGGGAAUAAAAGCAGGCCGCCCCAGCAAGCAAUGGCAAUGCAGUGGGGUCACGUCCAGGCAGUGGAAGGUUUGUUCUUUCACUCUUCGCAAUAAAUCUUAAUGCUGCUCACUCUUUCCAUCGGCGCCGCCUUUAUGACUUGUAACGCCGCAAAGGUCUGCAGCUUCACUCCUGAAGUCAGCCAGACCGUGAACCCACCAGAAGCAAGAAGGAACAAACUCCGGACUCACCAUCUUUGAGAACUGUAGCACUCAUCACAAGGGUCCAUGGCUUCAUUCUUGAAGUCAGUGAGACCAAGAGCCCACCAAUUCCAGACACAUAAUCACCAGGAAGAUCCAGACACACGCAGAGGUAAGACCAUUUAAAGAUGGAAAGAAGAUUACUGUCUACAAGACAAGGAAAGAGGCCGUAGAAGAAACCAACCAGGCCAAAACUUUCAUCUCAGACUUCUAGCCUUCAGAACUGUGAGAAUAUAAAUUUAUGUUGUUUAAGUCAGUGUGUGGUAUUUUGUUAUAACAGCCCUAGCAAAUGAAUAUAGUACCUCUGUUAUCUUUAGAUUAUUACUGCUACUAUGCCGUAUCUUUUCCAUCCCUUCACUUUUAAUGUCUCUCUCUUAAAGAUUUCUUGAUGACAACAUAUAGGUGGGUCUCAACUUUGUAUCCACUCUAUCUUUUAAUUGGUAUACUUAGACCAUUGAAGUUUAAAGUGAUUAUUGACAUAUUUGGAUUCAUGUCUAUCAUUCUGUAACUGCUUUCUAUCCGUUGUUCUUGUUAUUUUUGUGUAUACAUUUAUGGGUCACAUAUGAUGUUUUGAUGCUGGGAUACAAUGUGUAAUCACCAAAUCAGGAUAAUUGGGAUAUCCAUCACCUCAAGC